rnacentral:sRNA from 1 species
GGGUUAGUUACUCCUGCUAUUUAUUCAGCAAAGCCCAACCGAAUCCAAAACCAAUAUCCUGAUAAUUUUUUUUAUUGCUUCUUGGGGCGUUGUGGUUAUUAUUAUAAUGUAUUGGGGCCAUUGUAAGCUCAGGCUGUCAACGCAUUUCUGUAACCAUAACCACGAUUCCGGAGAUAUACUAGAGUUGUGCUAUCUACAGCAUGCAACUACGAUUUGCGUGCCAAACAAAGAAGAAAAUCGGAGCCUCAUUUAAGAAAAAUUAGUUUAGUUUGCCUUUUUUUUUCAAAUACAACCGUCAUCCAAUAAUUUCUACAAAGAGUUGAAAUUUAUGAGCGAAAGAAGGACACAGAUAGAUACUCG